UGAGUAACACGUGGGUAACCUGCCCUAAAGUCUGGGAUACCACUUGGAAACAGGUGCUAAUACCGGAUAACAACAAUAGCUGCAUGGCUAUUGCUUAAAAGGCGGCGAAAGCUGUCGCUAAAGGAUGGACCCGCGGUGCAUUAGCUAGUUGGUAAGGUAAUGGCUUACCAAGGCGACGAUGCAUAGCCGAGUUGAGAGACUGAUCGGCCACAUUGGGACUGAGACACGGCCCAAACUCCUACGGAAGGCAGCAG
rnacentral:rRNA from 1 species